rnacentral:tRNA from 2 species
GCGGGAAUAGCUCAGUUGGUAGAGCGCAACCUUGCCAAGGUUGAGGUCGCACUUUCUUGUGACAAGAGCGAACCUCGUUUCCCGCUCCA